AUGGCUAAUGUUUUGGGAAUGAUGCAGUUUCUUUACUGGAACGAUUCUAUAUGCCCCUGGCACAUGCCUACUCAACUUGAAGACAAGAAAGAAGUUCUUUAUGAUGACCACUUCUACUUAGUGAAUAGUUUCCUUUUCAGAUGCAUUAUCUUCCCUUCUUCACAGUGGAGAUCAUCUGUCAGAUUUCUGCUCACUCACCAAGCUCUUGCAUAUGAACUACAGCAUCAUUGA
rnacentral:lncRNA from 13 species